AAUCAAGAAAGUAGUGUGGGACCCUCUGGAUACACUCUGGCCAUGCUCUGUGGCCCCAGGAGUCAGAGUUGAAAAUGUUCUAUGCAAUAUCGGUAAAACACAGGAGGGGAUUUCUGACCGCAGCAUCCUCAGACACCAACUACAGCCCCCGUUUCCUUCCACCCCUCAAAUUUGUUUGCCUCCUGGCCUGGAGUCACUGUGUGAACACUGAAGUUUUCUUUGGAGCGGGCACCAGGCUCACAGUUAUAGAGGACCUGAAAAAGGUGAGCCCUCCCAAGGUCACAGUGUUUGAACCAUCAGAAGCAGAGAUCUCCAGGACCCUGAAGGCCACACUCGUGUGCCUGGCCACAGGCUUCUACCCCGACCACGUGGAGCUGAGCUGGUGGGUGAACGGGAAGGAGGUGCGCGACGGGGUCAGCACGGACCCUGAGCCCUACAAGGAACAGUCCAGCGCGAAUGUCUCCAGCUACUGUCUGAGCAGCCGGCUGAGGGUCUCCGCCACCUUCUGGCACAACCCUCGGAACCACUUCCGCUGCCAGGUCCAGUUCUACGGGCUCGGGAAGGAUGACCAGUGGGACUACCCCGAGGCCAAACCCGUCACCCAGAACGUCAGUGCCGACACCUGGGGCAGAGCAGACUGUGGCUUCACUUCAGCGUCCUACCAGCAGGGGGUCCUGUCGGCCACCAUCCUCUAUGAGAUCCUGCUGGGGAAGGCCACCCUAUAUGCCUUGCUGGUCAUCGUGCUGAUGGCCAAGGUCAAGAGAAAGGAUUCCUGAGGCCAGCUCCAAAAGCGUAUCCUGAGUUCAUAAUCCUCACCCCGGAUUCUCCUUUACAUGCUUCCAGCCUGUGUUUCUAAAAGCGUGAUUCUCUCUCCGCCUCUUAUCUCCUUCCUGCCGGGUUAUCUGUCCCUUCGCCCCACUUCCCUGUGGAUUGAGCUCCUCAGCCCUGACACUGAAAGAGACUAAAACAAUAAAAAGUGUCGUGCCAGGCC